AUGUUCAUCGAUUUUUGAGUGUAAAAUGGCUGACGGAUAUUUAGCAAUAAAUAUACUUUUUCUUCAAGAAAGAGUAAGAAUGCUAGAAAGACGAUUAGAAAGAAGAUUAUUGCACGAUACUCAAAAUCCAUUUGAGCUCCCUAACAAUGAAUUCAUCGCGCAAUUUAGAGUGAAUAAGGAAAUAGUUAUAGAUAUUGUUAAUGUUUUGAGGCCACAUUUGCAAAAACAGCGUAUAACUGGCUUAUCUCCAGAGAUAUAAGUAUUAAUAGCAUUUGGCUUCUUUGCUCAUGGUAGCUACCAAAGAUCGGUAAUCAAUGUGAAUUAGUUGUAAGCCAUGUGCUAGUUGUUGUAUAAGAAAAGUGGCACAAUUAAUGAACAUAUAUUUAUUGCGUUAAUGGAUAAGAUUUCCUAUGACCGCAAAUAAAAGAACAAUUGCAAAAAAUAAAUUUGCAUUAGCUCCACAACUAUUUCCCGGUGCUAUAGGCGCAAUAGAUUGCACACAUGUUAAUAUUCUUGCACCAUAUAUACAUGAAGAGGCCUAUGUAAACCACCACGGAAAUCAUUCUUUAAAUGUUCAAGCAAUAGUUGAUCCAGAUUUAAAAAUAUUCAAUAUUAACGCAAGAUAUCCAGGAGCAAGGAAUGAUGCCUAUAUUUGGAAUGCUUCUCCAAUCAGAAAUGUCAUGGAAUAUUUUUAUAACAAUGAUGAAAGGAGAACUUAUUUG